UUGUGUUGAUCAGUGGCAAAAACUCCUAAUUAAAUCCAUUUUGAUUCCAAUUUUGAUUCCAUUUUGAUUCCAAUGUGGAAAAGUCCAAGGGGGGUGAGUACUUUUGAGAGAAUGUUCUAGAAUUUAGCGGUGGGCGUUUUUAGCUUUAUGCAUGCAUAGCCUAAGGGCUAAGCAUAUAAUUAACCAUAUCUGUAUUACUGUAUUGAAGUAUUAAUGCUGUUAAACCUGUAAAGGCACCAGAUCGCCUGGACUGCUUAUUACUUGGGAUUUACGGUGGUCUGCGCAACCAACCAAUCCACUUUUUAACAUAAGCAUUUAAUAAACCAAAGGGGCACUACUACUGCUCUGAUUCGUUAAAACUUCAAAUUAAAUGAGAAUGUGUGAUUUUCUUGAAUAUUAAAAAGUUGUGUGGACAUAUAGCCAGCCCAGUGCAUGAACAAAACCACUACAUGAGUUUAAAACAUCUCUGUCCUCCUUGAACGUCUCCCCUGAGUUUAAGAGUGUGCUCAGAGCAUAUAUAUAAAUAAAAAGAGUAUGUGCGAAAAUUCUGACAGGUUGGUCUUCUCAUCAAGACCAUUCGUCUGGGGAUGGUAUGCAGAGCUAAUUCGAUGCCGGAUGCCCCAUUUCUAGAAAAGAGUCUGGUUAACCUGAUAAUGGUAGAAAUAGUUAGAAAUCAAGAAAUGUACAAAACACUGAAAAUAAAUAAUAAUUUAAAAUUGUAAAUAUUAGUAAACAUUAAUUAACUAAUUUAAAAAAUGCAGAAAAUUAUUUUAAAUCAAGUUAAUUUUUUAUGGAAGAAAAUAUGUAUUUUAAAAAAACCUAUAAUUGUACACUUACCAGCUGUUUGACAUAUUCAUCAUAACCAGUUUUACCUAUAGACUUUGAUAUUUUCAUCUUACCUUGUUCCAAAAUUCCCCACCCUGGUCUGUCAAGACAAUCUCCGGUGCUCCGUGGCAGUAGAACAGGGCUGCAAGAGCUGAUGCAGUGCAAGCAGCUGACUUGUCUUUAAUGGGGAUGGCCUCAGUCCACUUCAUGAAGAAAUCAGUAGCCGUCAAGCAGUAGUGGUUUCCUCCCUUCGAUGGCUGGAAUGGUCCAAUGAGAUCAACACCUAAAACCAAUUAAAAUUAUAUCAACAAUUAAGGAGGAUUUGGUCAAUAGCAUAUAUAUAAUAAAGCUCUGUAUCAAUGCAAUACAUUAGCAAGUUCAAUUAUACAAAUAGGAAUGAGACCACAUUUUUUCCUCUAUACACUAUUGUAAAACAGCAGUAUAUGGACCUAACAGUGCCCAAUAAAGACACUUUUACAUGCUGUAUUCUCCAUGUUUUCUUCUGUAGCACUACCUAAAUGUAGUUCUGUCAUCCAGAUAAGUCACAGCAUUUGAAAAUGGCAUUAGAUAACAACUUUAUGGCAAUUUCUUUUUAGAUUAAUUGCCAGGGAUGGGGCACCCUUUUUAAAAAUCUUUUAUUAGGGCAGUCAUUGCUGUCAAUAGGUGUUGCAUAUUUUUGUACUGGAAAUUGUCCUGAUGCACCUAUCUGUCAUGUGACUAUGAUAUUUACUCAAAUUAGUCUGUAAGCUGCAACCUGUUGUCAUAUGAUUGUUUUGCAAGCACAUGCUUACACAAUCUGUUUAACUGGUUUGCAAGAAAGUUUGUUACCAGACUUUUAAUCUUUUAAACCUUUUCAGACUAAGCUCUUCGUUUUCUACAUAUUACAGACUGUGUUUAAAUUCUGUAUGUUCUUCCAUUCUUUGUCUGACCUCACUAUAAAAGUAUAAUGAUGUAAUACUCACCGAUCAUGUAUCAUGGAGAAACAACUUUGAUUGGCUUCAGUUCUGGGGCAACAGUCUUCACCCUCUCAAAUCUUAAGGGAAACAGUAAUGAUGAAACAAGUAAUACUUAAAUCAUGAAUGGAAAAGCAGCAAGAAGCAAAAAAUUAGUUUUUUUAAAAAAAUAAAAAGUACCCAGUGCUCCAUGUCCUUUACAAUCCCUUUCCAGUAAAAAUCGCUGAUUGAUUUUCCCUAUCAUCCUCUUGAUCCCCAUGUGUCCUCCGUGAACUUCAUUGAGAAUGGCAGUCUUCUCCUCUUCAUCGGUCACAACCCUACGGAGACACUCUCCAUUCUUCUCAGGGACAUACAGGCAUAGGAAAAACAAUGGCAAAAAGAGGAGGAAAAGUUAAAUCUCUUUGGAAAUAUUUUGUAUUCGAGGGCGAGGAAAGGAAAAAAGCGAAAUGCCAAAUGUGCAAGAAGAUUCUUGGAUAUAAUCAAACCACCACGCCUUGUGAAACAUCUGAAAAUUUACCACAAGGAAAACAUUGGACAGGAUCCACAGGUACCGACCUUGCAUUUUGUUGUUGGACUCUCUGUUGCCAGAUCUGCACAUAUGUGAAGAGGUGUUUGACAAUCUCCGCAGGUUGGUAAACUGAGGACUGUAACUUUUGAAUUGGUUUUGUCAGCACAUAUUAUACUUUUCCAUGUGUUGCACAGAGGUCGGAACACAUUUAAGGUACAGGAGUCUUAUUUUUCUUGGUUAUAUAUUAAAUUAAAUCAACUUGAUUUUUGGAAUAUUUACAUUUCUGUGGCUUCUCAAAUUUGAAAAGUGUAAUAUUUAAGUGAUACAAAUAUUAAUAUAUUUCUUCUUUCUGUUGUAUCAUUAUUAUAUUAACAUUAUAAGGAAACUAGUUUAGGAAUCAUCAGUCACAGUUAACAUUUAUAGUAAAGAAUAAUGUGUAACUUGUUUUGUUUCAGAUACCUGUCAGCCAUGUCUAAAAGGCAACCAGCUGUAUAGUCAGAAAUGAAUGCCAGCAUAUAAAGUCAUUGUCCCUAAUUCAAAAGGAAACAGUACUGAAUGUGGCAUUUUUGUACUGUACUUUCUCGAAAAAUUCUUGCAGGUUAUGAAAAUGUUAUUCAUCCAUUUUUAUAAAUGUUGGUACAUUUACAUUAUUACACAUACUUAGCAACAAGCAUGGUUGCUUUUUUCAUUAUUAAUGCCAUCUUCGAAACAGAGCAGAAUAAUAUGGUUAUAAUAUAAACAGUACACAGAACUUACUUAAACAGUUAUGGCAACACAUGGGAACAUGAAAUACACACACAAAACACCUUUAGUUAGCACACACAGCGCUGCUA